rnacentral:precursor_RNA from 1 species
GGGGGAUUAGCUCAGCUGGGCUGCUAAUUGCCUCCGA